ACACACACACACACACACACACACACACACACACACACACACACACACACACACACACACGUUCACACACACACACACACACACACACACACACACACACACACACACACACACACACACACACAUACAUACACGCACACACAAACGCACACAUAUACACAUACACAUACUCAAACACACACACACAAACACACACACAUAUACACAUACUCAAACACACACACACAAACACACACACAUAUACACAUGUACACACAUACUCAAACACACACACACACACACACACACACACACACACACACACACACACACUGAGAGGACUGAUGACUCUGUCUCUGUGGCAAUUAUAGUCUCUCUCUCACAAACACGCACACACACACAUAAACACACACACACAUAAAAAAACAUACACAUACACACUGUGGCAGUUAUAGUCUCUCUCUCUCUCUCUCUCUCUCUCUCUCUCUCUCUCUCUCUCUCUCUCUCUCUCUCUCUCUCUCUCUCUCUCUCUCUCUCUCUCUCUCUCUCUCUCUCUCUCUCUCUCUCUCUCUUCUUCUUUAAAGUAUAGCAUGAUAAACCAAUCAUUAUUAUUUGAAAUGUAUAUAAAAUACCUAUUGAUGGUAAAUGUUUGUAUAUUUUCAGACUUCACCAGUUUUGGUCUUAAGGGCUCUGAUAUCAUCAUAUUUGUCAUAAUCCUGAUUUACAACCUGAUUUAAUGCAGAUUUUAUAUUUUUUUCAUAAUAACCAAGAUGUCUAUGGGAUAAUGUUGCAUGUUGUAGAUGACUUUAAACUGAAUCUUGAUAUUUUGUGUUCUGUUUGGAACCAAGCGGCCGCAGAACAUGUUCAGUUAUUAAAGAUACAUGCACACCUGUUGAUGAUUUGUAAAGUCUGCUGCUGAUUGUUUUAGUCCUUUGUUUUAGUGUUUAUUGUGUACAUGUGAGGGAUUAUUUUUCUGUCUUAUUUGUUAAUGAAGCAUAAUUGCAAUAAACAACUCAGUGGAUCCAACUGAAUGUUCUCGUGUGUUCAGCCGAUGAUUUCUCGUUUUAUUAGUGAACAAUAAAAAAAAACCUAACAUUAUCAAACUUCUUCACGAAAAUGUUUAGUUUUCUUUGCAUGAAAA
ensembl:lncRNA